rnacentral:rRNA from 1 species
UACGAAGGGGACUAGCGUUGUUCGGAAUCACUGGGCGUAAAGCGCACGUAGGCGGAUGUGUCAGUCAGGGGUGAAAUCCCGAGGCUCAACCUCGGAACUGCCUUUGAUACAGCACGUCUCGAGUCCGGAAGAGGUGGGUGGAAUUCCUAGUGUAGAGGUGAAAUUCGUAGAUAUUAGGAAGAACACCGGUGGCGAAGGCGGCCCACUGGUCCGGUACUGACGCUGAGGUGCGAAAGCGUGGGGAGCAAACAGG